AGAGUUUGAUCAUGGCUCAGGACGAACGCUGGCGGCGUGCUUAACACAUGCAAGUCGAACGGUAAGGCCCCUUCGGGGGUACACGAGUGGCGAACGGGUGAGUAACACGUGAGCAACCUGCCCUUGACACCGGAAUAACAGUUGGAAACAGCUGCUAAUGCCGGAUACGACCUCCGAUGGCAUCAUCUGGAGGUGGAAAGCGAUUCAGCGGUCAAGGAUGGGCUCGCGGCCUAUCAGCUUGUUGGUGAGGUAACGGCUCACCAAGGCUUCGACGGGUAGCCGGCCUGAGAGGGCGACCGGCCACACUGGGACUGAGAUACGGCCCAGACUCCUACGGGAGGCAGCAGUGGGGAAUAUUGCACAAUGGGCGCAAGCCUGAUGCAGCAACGCCGCGUGCGGGAUGACGGCCUUCGGGUUGUAAACCGCUUUCAGUUCCGACGAAGCGCAAGUGACGGUAGGAACAGAAGAAGGACCGGCCAACUACGUGCCAGCAGCCGCGGUG
rnacentral:rRNA from 1 species